AAGUUCACUUGGAAAUGGAAUGGCUGUUUGUGGCAUUAUACCCGAAGGUCCUUUUCGACAGAAAUUCAUUCACCAUUGUUACACUCCUUCUCGAUUUUCAUCCAUAUUUGGUUAUAUUCCUUUAUAUUUUGAAUCUAAUAUGAUCGAGCGUGACGUUCGCAUAUGGAACUACAAAAUGUAUUGGAAGAAUCCCUGUUUCGUGUCA